CUCUUUAAGGGACAAGCAUAAGUCCUACGACUCCCUUUGCAUAAAUAUUUUGUGAAUUACAAAGACUGAUCCACUACGUUUGAUUGUAGUUUGCACAAUUUCAAUUUCAUUUUUUAUUAUGAUGCGUUCAUGCAUUGUAGUAGGUGGUCUCAUUGUUCUUUUUGGGUCCAUGCACCUGCUUAUUUUUCUUUGACCAUUGAUCUGUACUAUGAAUAAAAAAAAUAACUUGUCACCCAUCUUGACUUUAACACUUGCCAGAGCACAAAUAAAGACAUCUUUUAUUCAAAUGUAUAAUGCACCAAAUGCAUGUUAUUUUUUUAUAUCACAGUUCAAAAGGUUAAUCUGGAAUUCUUUUGACAAUAAUUGCUAACUUUUUUUGAUCCAUGCAAACUAGAAAGGGGAAUACCGUUUUAUUGCAGCGAUUAAAAAUGUAUUUGCUUUGACUGGUUAACAUGCCAACACCUGAAGUAUAUAAGUAGCAGAUGUUGUGGGUUUGAUCGUAACGUCAUGACGCAAUCUUGCUGCGUCAAGAGAAUUUUCAGAUGGCCAAUUGCAGCUCUUCGGGGUUUGUUUGUUUUUAACUCAACACUGGAUGGACGUACUACCACGGUACUACUGUCACUCGCAAGACAAAUUGUCCGCACAGAUGUGGUGGUUUUCCGGUGUAAGCACAACGCCUCGAAUGGAGAGGGAGAGAAGGACCUACAGCAGGCAUCCUGUGAAGCUUUUCUCUACUAAUAUGAAUGAAAAUCAAAGAAAAUGAUCUGUAACGCCAUUCUACGGAUCCAAUUCCCCUUCAACUCCAGUGGUCAAUGACUGUUGCAGUAGGUCGCUCCACGAGGACAACUGCUGCAGUGGGCUGGUUCCCCCAAGCACUACUGGAUAGGCUAGCCCUCCUCGAAGACUUUCCAACCUCUUUCACUCAGUUGACAUGACAUUCGGGCCGAGCAAUAAAGGAUUGUUCAUAUGUA